rnacentral:piRNA from 1 species
UCCCUGUGAGCUAGCUCCUGAAGUGCCAG